GAUGAACGCUGGCGGCGUGCCUAAUACAUGCAAGUCGAGCGAACGGACGAGAAGCUUGCUUCUCUGAUGUUAGCGGCGGACGGGUGAGUAACACGUGGAUAACCUACCUAUAAGACUGGGAUAACUACGGGAAGCCGUAGCUAAUACCGGAUAAUAUUUUGAACCGCAUGGUUCAAAAGUGAAAGACGCUCUUGCUGUCUCUUAUAGAUGGUUCCGCGCUGCAUUAGCUAGUUGGUAAGGUAACGGCUUACCAAGGCAACGAUGCAUAGCCGACCUGAGAGGGUGAUCAGCCACACUGGAACUGAGACACGGUCCAGACUCCUACGGGAGGCAGCAGUGGGGAAUCUUCGGCAAUGGGCGAAAGCCUGACGGAGCAACGCCGCGUGAGUGAUGAAGGUCUUCGGAUCGUAAAGCUCUUUUAUUAGGGAAGAACAGAUGUGUGAGUAACUGUGCACGUCUUGACGGUACCUAAACAGAAAGCCACGGCUAACUUCGUG
rnacentral:rRNA from 1 species